UACGAAGGGGGGCUAGCGUUGCUCGGAAUCACUGGGCGUAAAGGGUGCGUAGGCGGGUCUUUAAGUCAGGGGUGAAAUCCUGGAGCUCAACUCCAGAACUGCCUUUGAUACUGAAGAUCUUGAGUUCGGGAGAGGUGAGUGGAACUCCGAGUGUAGAGGUGAAAUUCGUAGAUAUUCGGAAGAACACCAGUGGCGAAGGCGGCUCACUGGCCCGAUACUGACGCUGAGGCACGAAAGCGUGGGGAGCAAACAGG
rnacentral:rRNA from 1 species